rnacentral:rRNA from 1 species
GUGGGGAAUUUUGGACAAUGGGGGCAACCCUGAUCCAGCCAUGCCGCGUGCGGGAAGAAGGCCUUCGGGUUGUAAACCGCUUUCGGCCGGAACGAAAUCGCCGGGGAGAACAUCUCCGGUGGAUGACGGUACCGGAAGAAGAAGCACCGGCUAACUACGUGCCAGCAGCCGCGGUAAUACGUAGGGUGCGAGCGUUAAUCGGAAUUACUGGGCGUAAAGCGUGCGCAGGUGGUUCGCUAAGACAGAUGUGAAAUCCCCGGGCUCAACCUGGGAACUGCGUUUGUGACUGGCGGGCUAGAGUGCGGAAGAGGGAGGUGGAAUUCCACGUGUAGCAGUGAAAUGCGUAGAGAUGUGGAGGAACACCGAUGGCGAAGGCAGCCUCCUGGUCUAGCACUGACGCUCAUGCACGAAAGCGUGGGGAGCAAACAGGAUUAGAUACCCCGGUAGUCC